UAAUGAUGGUGAGGGAAAUUUCUGAGCAUACUUUUAAAUCUCUCCCAAGCUUGGUAGAGAUUCUCUUUUUUUUUUUCUGUCUAAAACUCAGAAUCUCGCUUCUCAAAUG
rnacentral:snoRNA from 1 species